UACGUAGGGGGCUAGCGUUGUCCGGAAUCAUUGGGCGUAAAGGGCGUGUAGGCGGCUCGGUAAGUCCGCUGUGAAAGUCGGGGGCUCAACCCUCGAAUGCCGGUGGAUACUGUCGAGCUAGAGUGCGGAAGAGGCGAGUGGAAUUCCUGGUGUAGCGGUGAAAUGCGCAGAUAUCAGGAGGAACACCUAUUGCGAAGGCAGCUCGCUGGGACGUUACUGACGCUGAGACGCGAAAGCGUGGGGAGCAAACAGG
rnacentral:rRNA from 1 species